rnacentral:rRNA from 1 species
GACGAACGCUGGCGGCGUGCCUAACACAUGCAAGUCGAGCGGGGUCCAUCCAGUGGCAACACUGGGGAAGACCUAGCGGCGAACGGGUGAGUAACACGUGAGAAACCUGCCCUGAAGUCUGGGAUAACCCGAGGAAACUCGAGCUAAUACCGGAUGCCCCCACGAGUCGCAUGGCUUGGUGAGGAAAGAUUCAUCGCUUCAGGAGGGUCUCGCGGCCUAUCAGCUAGUUGGCGGGUAACGGCCCACCAAGGCAUCGACGGGUAGCUGGUCUGAGAGGACGAUCAGCCACACUGGGACUGAGACACGGCCCAGACUCCUACGGGAGGCAGCAGUGGGAAUAUUGCGCAAUGGGCGAAAGCCUGACGCAGCAACGCCGCGUGCGGAUGACGGCC